AUUGAACGCUGGCGGCAUGCCUUACACAUGCAAGUCGAACGGCAGCACGGGUGCUUGCACCUGGUGGCGAGUGGCGAACGGGUGAGUAAUACAUCGGAACGUACCUUAUCGUGGGGGAUAACGCAGCGAAAGCUGUGCUAAUACCGCAUACGCCCUGAGGGGGAAAGCGGGGGAUCGCAAGACCUCGCGCGAUUAGAGCGGCCGAUGCCUGAUUAGCUAGUUGGUGGGGUAAAAGCCCACCAAGGCGACGAUCAGUAGCUGGUCUGAGAGGACGAUCAGCCACACUGGGACUGAGACACGGCCCAGACUCCUACGGGAGGCAGCAGUGGGUAAUUUUGGGCAGUGGGGGCAACCCUGAUCCAGCAAUGCCGCGUGAGUGAAGAAGGCCUUCGGGUUGUAAAGCUCUUUUGUCAGUGAAGAAACACCGGCUCUAACACAGUCCGGGAAUGACGGUACCUGAAGAAUAAGCACCGGCUAACUACGUGCCAGCCGCCGCGGUAA
rnacentral:rRNA from 1 species